ACAGCUAUGAAUGGUAAAAUAUGUGUAAUUGAAUCUAAAUUAAUUUUAUUUUUAUGGUUUAAAGGCUUUUCGUUCUUCCGUUCACGUUCAAGGCUACAACUCAUCGAAUCGGACUUUUAUAAGCAUGCCAUAAAAUAUCUCGCCAUUUUUAAUUGAAUCAUUUGUUCUAGGUCUUAGUCAUUGGUGAAGAAAACCACUUGCCUUACAUGAGGCCACCACUAUCGCGUAAGAAUUGUGGUUCAGUGACGAUCCCGAAGUGUCAAACAAACUGAAGUUUAAGCAGUGGAACGGAAAAAAGUGAAGUUUGUUCUUCGAUCAGGAUGAAUUCUACUGCAGUCCAGUGGAAUUAGUUGCCAAAGAACAUGGUGGUGUUUCAGUUGUGCGAGGACAUCAUGUAGUUAAACUGGACAUUGCUGGUCGCAAAGCUGAGUUAGAUGACGGCCUUACCAUCACCUACGACAAGUGCCUUAUUGCCACAGGUGGCAAACCCUAACAUCCAGCAGGAAUAAAGAUGUUUUGGAAGCAGUUGAAAGGCCCGCAAAGUAAAACAACAGAGUUAUUCGACUUUUUCCAUCAGCAACAACAGCAGCCUGAGCAACGGCCGCAUAGCAGUGUGAAAAAAAAGUGAAAAAAAUUCAAAUCUCGGACGCAGUGCAGUUGUUCGCCGAUUAUUCGAAGAGCAUACGAAACUAUUUAUACGAUGUCGAUGGCAAUAUUCUGCUUGAUGUUUACACUCAAACCUCUUCAGUUCCAUUAGGUUACAACCACCCUGAAUUAUUAGAUGUCAAGAUAAAGAAAACAUCAGAACAUUCAUAAACCGACCUGCCCUCGGUGUAUUUCCUGGUGAAAAUUAUCCUAAGCGAGUCCAGAAUUCUCUGUUACGUAUUGCUCCCAAAGGCCAUACAGAGGUAACGACGAUGGCGUGUGGAUCGUGCUCAAACGAAAAUGCGUACAAGGCAAUUUUCGUUUGGUAUCGCCGGAAACAGAGGGGAGAUAAGUCAUAUACCCCAGAGGAGAAGACGAGUUGCGUAAUGAACCAAUUGCCUGGUGUUUCUGACCUGACUCUUAUGUCUUUCAAAGGCGCUUUCCACAACAGAACGUUUGGUACGUUAAUCACGACUCAUACCAAGCCAGUCCAUAAACUGGACAUUCCUACAAAGGACUGGCCAAUUGGAACCUUCCCUCGCCACAAGUAUCCGUUGGAAGAAUUUGUGCGUGAAAAUGAGGAAGAAGAUCGUCGCUGUUUGGCGGAAGUUGAAGAGCUUUUUGAUCGGUACA